UUGAUUGAUUUCUGUGUGUUUGUGUUUAUAAAAUUUGUAUAUUUAAGUUUCCAGUCAUAUUUAUAAUAUUUCUAAAGUACGGAAAAUAUCAAACGAAGAGAUAACCAAGUUAAAGAAAUACAAUGAAGAAUUCCUAAUCAUACCCAUAGUAUAGGUAUUAAAGAAUAAAGUCUUCAAAUUUCAAGUACUUACUUGCAUGGAUAGGAAAUUGCCCGUCACAGCAGUAUAUAUGGACAUGACUAAAGCCUUCGAUCACGUGGAUCAUGUCAUUCUGCUAAAAAAAUUAGAGCUUUAUGGUAUAAGAGAAUAACCGAACUCCACUACCUAUCCCAUAAUGCGAGGUUCACAGUAAUUAUUCAACUUACAUGAAGCAGUCAGAAAGUUUAUUGAGAUUUGAGAAAUAAAGUUACACUCAUAAGUAGCAAAACAGUGGAUGAAGAAGUGUGGGAUUAUGAGUGAUUAUUUCAUUCUAAAGCAAACAUAAGCAAGUCUCGCUCACUGUCAUGAAAAUUCACAAUAACAAUCAACAAGAAAAACUUCAAGGAUACUGGCUAUGCUAACCAAUUCAUGGAAUUCUGUUAGUAUUUGAAAUUAUAAAUAGCUAUUUAUAUUGUAA